rnacentral:piRNA from 1 species
UAGCACCAAUCUUUAUGUUGCCCUGUGU